GCUAGUAGUCCCAGCCUACAGUAUGGAGCUCUCUUUACUGUUCCCUCAGUGAACGUUUCCAACUCUUGCUCUUCAUGUUCGGUUUCUAAUUCUGCAACCCACUCUUUCCUUGUCUCUACAUCUAAAAGCAACGCCUGGCGACACUGACCUCUUCCGGCCGUUGAAGCGACUGCAGUCACUUGCACUUGUGUGGACGCUGCCAUUCAUACUGGGCCUCUAGUGCAUCACCUGCUUUGUUGAGUUAAAAAUGUCCUCAUGGAGGAGCAGCAAAAAGUACACCCAAAUUAUGAUUGAUCAAAAAAGACUUCCAUAUCAGUUUCUUAAAAAAAGGGGAUGCACGGCGGACAAGUGGUUAGCGCGCAGACCCCACAGCUAGGAGACCCAAGUUCAAUUCCACCCUCGACCAUCUCUGUGUGGAGUUUGCAUGUUCUUCCCGUGCAUGCAUGGGUUUUCUCCGGGUACUCCGGUUUCCUCCCACAUUCCAAAAACAUGCUAGGUUAAUUGGCGACUCCAAAUUGUCCAUAGGUAUGAAUGUGAGUGUGAAUGGUUGUUUGUCUAUAUGUGCCCUGUGAUUGGCUGGCCACCAGUCCAGGGUGUACCCCGCCUCUCGCCCGAACACAGCUGGGAUAGGCUCCAGCACCUCCGCGACCCUCGUGAGGAUAAGCGGUGGAAAUGAAUGAAUAGUGCUUUUUAAAGUACCCAAAGCUCUUCACAGUGAAAUUAACCAAUUUUUCAUUCACCCCUCAGUCACACACUGGUGGUGGUAUUGUACAUCUGUAGCCACAGCUGCCCUGGGCGAGACUGACUGACUGAAACGUGGUUCCCGAUUCGUGUCUAUGGCCUCUCCGGCCAUCACCAAACACUCAUUCACAUUCAUACAACAGUGUGGGUAACAGCGGAGGCAAGGUGGGAGACGUGUCUUUCCCAAUUCCCAAGGACACAGCAACAAUGCUUGAGUGGAGGGAGCAAGGAUGGAAAAGUCGUUCUAAAAGGGUUGACAAAUUAUUUUCAUCAUAGCUUUCGUUAACUAAUCAAAACAAAUGCACAAUGACAAAAAUUCGGAUGUAAUGAAGUGAAAAACAAGACAAAAAUGUUGACAGAAAUGAAAUAUCUUGUAGACUAUUCCAACAAGUUAGGGAUAUAUCCAAUCACAGCAAAAGCGUGUCCAUGACCAUGGUUACAUCUGAAUGGAAUGCUAGCGAGGAUGAUACCACCCAAACCAACAACUUAUUUUGCACCAAAAAGAGAAAAAACAGUCCCAAAAUGGAUUAUGGCUAAUUAUGAUUCCAUUAUAUGUCAUUCCUACCGUCAAAAGCUGCACCAUGUCAACAGAGUGGUGCCCUGAAUGUUCCGUCUUGGCAUCAGGCCGUGGCUGCAGUGAGCUUGAUGUGGGUACUACAGGCAGAGGUGUUGUCAGGAAACAUGGGGGGCCUUUCUGUGGCGAUAAAUCUGGCUUGUGAUUCAUUGGAGACUGGUACGAGGGUGAGGCUCCCUCCCGUGGUAUCCGGGACAUGUGCAGGAUGUCAGAAGAGGUAGAAUGGCGGAGGUGAGGACUGUCUGGCUUGAGGUCACUUACUCCCACAAGCGACUGGGGUAUUUUACACCUGUGACCCAGUUCCGGUUCUAGAGGAAUCUGAUAUUUAGAAAUGAGCAAAGAUGUCAGAAUGAGGAUUAAGGAUUUGGUAAAGUAUGCUAAUUGUGUACGGUCCUAAAAGCAUACCUGUGAAGAUGUGCCGCCUUGGUUCACCAGGCCGUGUCCUGAUGAAGGAUGUCCAGUUAAUUGUGUCGGGAAACCCCGGGGUUCACGAUACACUGAAAAUGAGGCACCACUUCCCAGAUGCACCAACUGGAUCCCAUGUGCGUGAGGAGACACCAUGACAGGACUAGAUGAGUGGACCUGUCUUAUUCUACUUUCAUUGUUGGGUGAAUGGAUGAGCUGUCCUUCUAUUGGUUGGUGGGAUUCUUUUCUUGAAACCUCACUGCUCUUCCUCACAAUGGGACACU